AAAAUCAAUAGUUUUUUAAUUGGAAACUGGAAUGAAGGAGUGGAUGAAAUAUAAAUUGUCUCAAGAUAAUAAAUUGAAUUUAAAUUAAAAGUAAAAAUGCUUUUAUGAGGUUAUUAGACGAGAAGACCCUAUAGAAUUUAAUAAAAUUUAUUUUUUAAACUUUUUAUGUUAAAAUUGUUUAUAAAGUAAUUAUAUUUUAUUGGGAGGAUAUUUAAAUUUGAGUAACUUUAAUUAAAAUAAACAUUAAUUAAUGAAUUUGUUGAUUAUUAUUAUAAUUAUCAGAGUAAAUUACCUUA
rnacentral:rRNA from 1 species